GUGUGAUCAGGCAUGUGCCUUGGCUUGGGUGGUUGCCACGGCCUGAAGUGUGCAGACAGCAGGGCCUGUGGAGCAGUGGGUGGUCAGGAUGGGGCAACUCACAGAUUUACGAGCCAGAAAGUUAGGCAGAGAAAGCUGUGACUUAGGAACCACACAGAGGAAGAAGAGAACUGGGAGUGGCUGUAAUCAGUACAGCCCGAGGGCAGACAGACACCUUGGACAAACAGCAUCCAACCAGAACGGUGAGAUAGGAUUCAGGCUUCACACACAAAGAUGUCAGUCUGGAAACAAAACAGGUCUCAGUAGUGACUCCCUCUCCAUUCCAUAUCUGGAGAUGCUGGAAAGAAUCCACUUGUUCAAAAAUGAAGGAAGAAGUUUCUGUGGACUAAUUUCUCUUUUUUCAUCAUUGGUCUCUUUUCUUCUUGAGUGACACAUGUCCCCAUAAUUCCUUCUGCGGUGAUGCAAGAGUGGAGGUCUCCAUCUGUAGCUACUUUCUGCUGAACAAGGUUGCAGGUCCUAUCCAUGAGCAAUUAGGUGAUCUCCAACUACCCUGGAGUGUUGUGCCUCCCAGACUGGGUUGAAAAAAAAAUAAUCUGACAGAAGAUGGUGAGAAGAGUUCGUGACUGUUGAGCUGCCUGUUUAAUGAGAAAAAGCUUCAUGUACUUUUCUAUCAGAAGACACUCAAAUGUUCUGGCGUGCCUGAUCCAUGUUGCUACUGGUAACUCCCUUCAACCAGGAACGUGCCUGUUAUUAAACAAGUUAAUAUGGUUGCAGCGAGGAAAAACAACAUAAAGACCGUCGUGCAUAUUGUGUGCCGUACUGUCCUGUAAUGAUAUGAUACAUACCAUGCCAAUGUGAUGAGAUGGAGUGAAGUGAAUGAUUUGGUAUUGGACCUUAGCAUCAGGCCACUGAGGAAGAUUCACUUCAACCAAAGCACUACAGUAGCAAGACGGUUGAUAUUAACUAUUCAACUGAAAUGACAAACCUACAGGUGGUGUUCCCAGCAUGGAUUCACAGGACAAAGUGAUAUUCAAGCCCAUGUCUGUUGCCAGUGCUUUUUAAGCCAUUGGUCUUGGGAGAAUAGCAGUUCACCGUACCUUUCUUCAAUAUUUCAUGGAGGGGCACAUCACCGUUCACUCAUCUAUUUAGCAGUGACCAUGCUGUGAAUCGCUGAGGACACGGACAGCUGUGUUACCUGCUUCAUUGCUCUUUCAGAGUGGCCAGGACCCAGACACGGAGAAACGAAAUUAUACUACCAGUAACUUGUAGGAACCAUUUUGAUUUGAGAGUGAAAAGCUCAAAUACCUAUGGACCCAAAAAGAAAUCUGCAAAAUGUAUAAAAGCUGGAAAAUAGAAUGGAGUCUUUUUAGUUCUGAUCUUCAUCUUGGGAUUAUUCAUGUCACCUUCAAGAAAUUUAUGAAGGAGCCCUUACAGCAUGUCUUUAUUAUUUUCCAGUUACACGGAUUGUGGAAAAUAUGCUGAUGACUCCCAAGUCAUCAAGGAACAAUGUUACUCAAUUACAUAAUAACGUCGUUCUUUCAGUCAACAAAUAUUUUAUUCAAAAAUAUUUAGUGAGACCAUACUUUAUACCUGGCUGUAUUCCAGGCUCUGGCAAUCUAGCAGUGAACAAGACAGAUAUCCUUCCCUAUGGAGCAUGUACUCUAGUAUAUUUUCUUGGAUCAGCAAAACAACCAGAACAUUUUUCAAUAAUUCAGUAUUAAAAUGCUAAUAUAGCCUCAAAAUAAAGAAAUGGAUCUUCUA